rnacentral:miRNA from 1 species
ACUGGGAAGAGGAGCUGAGGGA